UCAGUUGUGAAAGUUUGCGGCUCAACCGUAAAAUUGCAGUUGAUACUGGGCGCCUUGAGUGCAGCAUAGGUAGGCGGAAUUCGUGGUGUAGCGGUGAAAUGCUUAGAUAUCACGAAGAACUCCGAUUGCGAAGGCAGCCUGCUAAGCUGCAACUGACAUUGAGGCUCGAAAGUGUGGGUAUCAAACAGGAUUAGAUACCCUGGUAGUCCACACGGUAAACGAUGAAUACUCGCUGUUUGCGAUAUACAGCAAGCGGCCAAGCGAAAGCGUUAAGUAUUCCACCUGGGGAGUACGCCGGCAACGGUGAAACUCAAAGGAAUUGACGGGGGCCCGCACAAGCGGAGGAACAUGUGGUUUAAUUCGAUGAUACGCGAGGAACCUUACCCGGGCUUAAAUUGCACUCGAAUGAUCCGGAAACGGUUCAGCUAGCAAUAGCGAGUGUGAAGGUGCUGCAUGGUUGUCGUCAGCUCGUGCCGUGAGGUGUCGGCU
rnacentral:rRNA from 1 species